rnacentral:rRNA from 1 species
AGAGUUUGAUCCUGGCUCAGGACGAACGCUGGCGGCGUGCUUAACACAUGCAAGUCGAACGAACUCCAUCCGGCAGCAAUGCCGGUGAAGAGCUAAGUGGCGAACGGGUGAGUAACACGUGAGCAACCUGCCCCGAAGACCGGGAUAACAGCGGGAAACCGCUGCUAAUACCGGAUACCCCCACCGGAUCGCAUGGUCUGGUGAGGAAAGGAUUCUGCUUCGGGAGGGACUCGCGGCCUAUCAGCUUGUUGGUGAGGUAACGGCCCACCAAGGCGACGACGGGUAGCUGGUCUGAGAGGACGAUCAGCCACACUGGGACUGAGACACGGCCCAGACUCCUACGGGAGGCAGCAGUGGGGAAUCUUGCGCAAUGGGCGAAAGCCUGACGCAGCAACGCCGCGUGCGGGAUGAAGGCCUUCGGGUUGUAAA